GGAGUCUGCAUCCUAAUGGGAAGAGAGAAUAAUAAACAAAGAGAGUAGUAAGUUACUGAGAAUGUGAAAUAGCGGUAUGUGCGAUGCAAGAAAAGAAUGCCAGGGACAAACAUGGAAACUGAUGGUUUGUGAUUUAAAAUGGGGUGGCCAGUGAUGGCUUCACUCUACUAAUCAGAUGCCUCGUGCCUUUCCAAAAGUAGGCCCUCAAUAAAUGUGUGCCGUGCUGUGCUAAUUUUAGACCCUCUUCAGUGGUGCGGUCCUAACAGAAACCCAACAAGUGCCAUGGAUAAUGUGGAUUUCGCUCGUAAAGGAACUACUACCAUGUCUCCUUGGUUUUCCCUCAGAUCCACCUGCAGUGAAGGGAUAGUAAAUGCUACCUUACGUUUGCAUAGGACUUUCCAGUUUAUUGACUGUCCAAGGUCAGAGUUCUAUUUGCAGGUCACCACAGACCCGUUUCCCAAGCCAGUGAAAAACCACACUAUGCCACAGAUGGAUUUUAAAGGAUGGAUCUUUUUUCCAACAUGUGGCUUCCUGUAAUUUAAGGAAAUGUUAUACAUGAACAAUUAAAAUCAUAUAUCAAAAAAGACGCAAAGCCCAAUAGUUUCUUAUUCUAUCAAAUUACAAGAAAUGGGGGGGGAGCGGGGGAAG
rnacentral:lncRNA from 1 species